ACGUAGGGGGCUAGCGUUAUCCGGAAUUACUGGGCGUAAAGGGUGCGUAGGCGGCUUUUUAAGUCAGAUGUGAAAGACUACGGCUUAACCGUAGUAAGCUCUUGAAACUGGAAAACUUGAGUGCAGGAGAGGAAAGUGGAAUUCCUAGUGUAGCGGUGAAAUGCGUAGAUAUCGGGAGGAAGGCCGGUGGCGAAGGCGGCCAUCUGGCGCUGAACUGACACUGAGGCGCGAAAGCGUGGGGAGCAAACAG
rnacentral:rRNA from 1 species